rnacentral:rRNA from 1 species
ACGGGAGGCAGCAGUGGGGAAUAUUGGACAAUGGGGGAAGCCCUGAUCCAGCGACGCCGCGUGAGUGAAGAAGUAUUUCGGUAUGUAAAGCUCUAUCAGUAGGGAAGAUAAUGACGGUACCUAACUAAGAAGCUCCGGCUAAAUACGUGCCAGCAGCCGCGGUAAUACGUAUGGAGCAAGCGUUAUCCGGAUUUACUGGGUGUAAAGGGGGCGUAGACGGCAUGGCAAGUCUGAUGUGAAAUCCCCGGGCUCAACCCGGGAACUGCAUUGGAAACUGUUAAGCUAGAGUGCAGGAGAGGUAAGUGGAAUUCCUAGUGUAGCGGUGAAAUGCGUAGAUAUUAGGAGGAACACCAGUGGCGAAGGCGGCUUACUGGACUGUAACUGACGUUGAGGCUCGAAAGCGUGGGGAGCAAACAGGAUUAGAUACCCUGGUA